rnacentral:rRNA from 1 species
AGAGUUUGAUCAUGGCUCAGGAUGAACGCUGGCGGCGUGCCUAACACAUGCAAGUCGAACGGUAAGGCCCCAGCUUGCUGGGGUACACGAGUGGCGAACGGGUGAGUAACACGUGGGUGACCUGCCCCGCACUUCGGGAUAAGCCUGGGAAACUGGGUCUAAUACCGGAUAGGACCGCACCGUGAGGGUGUGGUGGAAAGUUUUUCGGUGUGGGAUGGGCCCGCGGCCUAUCAGCUUGUUGGUGGGGUAAUGGCCUACCAAGGCGGCGACGGGUAGCCGGCCUGAGAGGGUGGACGGCCACAUUGGGACUGAGACACGGCCCAGACUCCUACGGGAGGCAGCAGUGGGGAAUAUUGCACAAUGGGCGGAAGCCUGAUGCAGCGACGCCGCGUGGGGGAUGACGGCCUUCGGGUUGUAAACUCCUUUCACCAUCGACGAAGGUUUUCUGACGGUAGAUGGAGAAGAAGCACCGGCUAACUACGUGCCAGCAGCCGCGGUAAUACGUAGGGUGCGAGCGUUGUCCGGAAUUACUGGGCGUAAAGAGCUCGUAGGUGGUUUGUCGCGUCGUCUGUGAAAUUCCGGGGCUUAACUCCGGGCGUGCAGGCGAUACGGGCAUAACUUGAGUACUGUAGGGGAGACUGGAAUUCCUGGUGUAGCGGUGAAAUGCGCAGAUAUCAGGAGGAACACCGGUGGCGAAGGCGGGUCUCUGGGCAGUAACUGACGCUGAGGAGCGAAAGCAUGGGUAGCGAACAGGAUUAGAUACCCUGGUAGUCCACGCCGUAAACGGUGGGCGCUAGGUGUAGGGGUCUUCCACGACUUCUGUGCCGUAGCUAACGCAUUAAGCGCCCCACCUGGGGAGUACGGCCGCAAGGCUAAAACUCAAAGGAAUUGACGG